AUGCGGUUCCUCACCGUUCCUCCCGUCGUGCUGCAUCUGUUCCUGCUACUCUUCUUGGCCUCUCCUGCCACCGCAUGCACCAAGCAGGAGAAGCGCAACCUCCUUCAGUUCCUUGCCGGACUAUCACAAGACGGCGGCCUCGCUGCAUCGUGGCGCGACAACGGCACGGACUGCUGCGAGUGGGAAGGCGUCGUCUGCAAUGGAGACGGGGCCGUUGCUGAGGUCUCCCUGGGAUCUAAAGGACUUGAAGGGCGCAUCUCGCCAUCCCUGGCCGACCUCACCAGUCUGCUGCAUGUCAACCUCUCGUACAACUCCUUCUCAGGUGGCCUUCCUCCGGAGCUCAUGUUCUCUGGAAGCAUCAUCGUCCUCGACGUCAGCUUCAGCCGGCUCAAUGGACCGCUGCCCGAGCUUCCAUAUUUGGUUACCACUGACCGGCCUCUGCAAGUACUCAACAUCUCGAGCAACCAGUUCAGCUCAGAAUUUCCAUCAGCCACAUGGAAGGUGAUGAAGAAUCUGAUCGCGCUCAACGCCAGCAAUAACAGCUUCACUGGGCACAUACCGUCUUCUCUUUGCAUUGGCUUGCCAUCUUUGGCUUUGCUUGACCUCUGCUACAACCAAUUGAGCGGCGACAUUCCAAACACACUGGGUAAUUGCUCCAAGCUCAAAGUGCUCAAGGCUGGCAACAACCACAUAAGUGGGAUUCUACCGGUUGAAAUCUUCCAUGCUACCUCGCUGGAGUACCUCUCCUUCCCCAACAAUGGUGGUUUACAAGGAGAACUUGAUGGAGCACACAUAGUCAAACUCAGUAAUCUGCUUACUCUUGACCUUGGAGGGAACAGUUUCAGUGGAACCAUUCCAGAGUCCAUAGGUCAGCUCAGGAGGCUCGAGGAGCUCCAUUUGGGUAGCAAUAACAUGUCUGGGGAGCUGCCAUCGACUAUGAGCAACUGCACAAAUCUCAAAACCAUUGAUCUGAAGAUCAACAACUUCAGUGGAAAUCUAGGCAAGCAAUUUGACUGCACUGCGGCUGUCAAUCAACCAUUUCCACGAGUUGUAGGAGCAUCAGCGUCCUGCUUAUUGGCAAAAACUUCAUGA
rnacentral:rRNA from 1 species